GAUAAGCGCUGGCGGCGUGCCUAAUACAUGCAAGUCGAGCGAACGGACGAGAAGCUUGCUUCUCUGAUGUUAGCGGCGGACGGGUGAGUAACACGUGGAUAACCUACCUAUAAGACUGGGAUAACUUCGGGAAACCGGAGCUAAUACCGGAUAAUAUUUUGAACCGCAUGGUUCAAAAGUGAAAGACGGUCUUGCUGUCACUUAUAGAUGGAUCCGCGCUGCAUUAGCUAGUUGGUAAGGUAACGGCUUACCAAGGCAACGAUGCAUAGCCGACCUGAGAGGGUGAUCGGCCACACUGGAACUGAGACACGGUCCAGACUCCUACGGGAGGCAGCAGUAGGGAAUCUUCCGCAAUGGGCGAAAGCCUGACGGAGCAACGCCGCGUGAGUGAUGAAGGUCUUCGGAUCGUAAAACUCUGUUAUUAGGGAAGAACAUAUGUGUAAGUAACUGUGCACAUCUUGACGGUACCUAAUCAGAAAGCCACGGCUAACUACGUGCCAGCAGCCGCGGUAAUACGUAGGUGGCAAGUGUUAUCCGGAAUUAUUGGGCGUAAAGCGCGCGUAGGCGGUUUUUUAAGUCUGAUGUGAAAGCCCACGGCUCAACCGUGGAGGGUCAUUGGAAACUGGAAAACUUGAGUGCAGAAGAGGAAAGUGGAAUUCCAUGUGUAGCGGUGAAAUGCGCAGAGAUAUGGAGGAACACCAGUGGCGAAGGCGACUUUCUGGUCUGUAACUGACGCUGAUGUGCGAAAGCGUGGGGAUCAAACAGGAUUAGAUACCCUGGUAGUCCACGCCGUAAACGAUGAGUGCUAAGUGUUAGGGGGUUUCCGCCCCUUAGUGCUGCAGCUAACGCAUUAAGCACUCCGCCUGGGGAGUACGACCGCAAGGUUGAAACUCAAAGGAAUUGACGGGGACCCGCACAAGCGGUGGAGCAUGUGGUUUAAUUCGAAGCAACGCGAAGAACCUUACCAAAUCUUGACAUCCUUUGACAACUCUAGAGAUAGAGCCUUCCCCUUCGGGGGACAAAGUGACAGGUGGUGCAUGGUUGUCGUCAGCUCGUGUCGUGAGAUGUUGGGUUAAGUCCCGCAACGAGCGCAACCCUUAAGCUUAGUUGCCAUCAUUAAGUUGGGCACUCUAAGUUGACUGCCGGUGACAAACCGGAGGAAGGUGGGGAUGACGUCAAAUCAUCAUGCCCCUUAUGAUUUGGGCUACACACGUGCUACAAUGGACAAUACAAAGGGCAGCGAAACCGCGAGGUCAAGCAAAUCCCAUAAAGUUGUUCUCAGUUCGGAUUGUAGUCUGCAACUCGACUACAUGAAGCUGGAAUCGCUAGUAAUCGUAGAUCAGCAUGCUACGGUGAAUACGUUCCCGGGUCU
rnacentral:rRNA from 1 species